rnacentral:lncRNA from 1 species
UGUAUGCAAACGCAAGCCCAACUCACAAGUGCAGUGCUCCACUCCACCAGAGAAGAAAAAACCAACCAACGUCCAUCAAUGGCGUCGUGCAGCCAGCACCUCCUCUCAGCCGUCGCCAUCUUCUCCGUCCUGGCCGCCGCCGCCACCGCCACCAGUAUGUACACCUGCUACGAAGGGGUGGGCCUCCCCGUGGACCCGCUCCAGGGCUGCCACUACUACGUGACCUCGCAGACCUGCGGCUUCGUGCCGCUGCUCCCAAUUGAGGUGAUGAAGGACCGGUGCUGCCGGGAGCUGGCCGCCAUCUCGUCCAA